CGUAGGUGAACCUGCGGAAGGAUCAUUACUGAGUGAGGGCCCCUCGGGGUCCAACCUCCCACCCGUGUUUAACGAACCUUGUUGCUUCGGCGGGCCCGCCUCACGGCCGCCGGGGGGCAUCUGCCCCCGGGCCCGCGCCCGCCGAAGCCACCUGUGAACGCUGUCUGAAGUAUGCAGUCUGAGGCAAUUAUUAAAUUAAUUAAAACUUUCAACAACGGAUCUCUUGGUUCCG
rnacentral:misc_RNA from 1 species